UACCUUCCCCUCCUCUGUGGCCACACUGUGCCCUCCCCUCCUCUCAGGUGGGCCAGUCUUGCCUGAUUCACCCUUCUCCCCAUCUCCCUCCCUCCCAUGUCUUUAGGUAGGUCUAUCAUCAGAGUUCCAGGGUUUAAAGGGAUCAGGACCUUGCCUCUGUAGUGUCCGGGUUUCCCACUCUCUGAGAACUAAAGCAUCUUAGAGCUAGAAAGAAUUAUUCAUCCAGCUCUAGGUUUUCAAACUUAUGUUUUUGCAGUGCAAUCCUUCCUUUAAAAAAAUCUUAGGAAGGUCCUGGGCUUGAAACAAAGAUAAGGGGCUUUGAGCCUCCCUGUACUUAUUCUUUUGCUAUCUCCCACCAGAGAUUUCUAUAAAAAACCCUUUGUUGAAAAUCACUGAUUCAUGCAACACCCACAAGGGACUUGAGUUGCCUUCUAUCAUAUCCCCACAACUGUGCAAGCUCUCCGCUAAUGGCGUAUUCAACAUCACCCAAGGCUUCCCUUUAGAAUUCUGGGUCAAAGCACUGCCCAUUAAGAUGCAAAUGUCCCUGGAGUGUGGGGGACACAAUAUUCUGCCAGGGCUUCACAUCAAAAGUAUGAAUCACCCAGUCUAAUCCCCUUCCUCCCAGCUGUUCAACUGAGCCCGAGGCUAAGAAGAGAGAAGAUAGUUGAAGGGGAUCUGGAUCCUUUUGGAGCAGGCAGCAAGUCUGGGGCCCUGUCUACCAGCAUCAGCUCUCAGCUGUCUGAAUGGAGUGAGGUCAUCAGGAAACCACAGAGACGCCACAACUGGCCAACUCGUGAUCUUCAGCAGUAAGGCCAGGGCACAGACGCAGGGCCCUGGAAACACCAGCAAUCCCGCCGACCAUCACCAGACACACACAGAUCAACAAAGUCACGC